CUACCAACAAAAGGCAAUUGCGUUGCAGUUCCUGGAAUUAAGUUGACUGUGUAGCCUGUGAGGGCAAGGCUUGAGAACUGCUUCAGAAGUCAGCAACUUGAUUCCAGCAAUUGCGGCCCAAGUACAGCAGAAAGAGCCGU
rnacentral:pre_miRNA from 15 species